GAGGUUAUAGUCCAGUGGUUAGGGUGCCUGCUUAGCAUGUAUGAGGUCCUGGGUUCAAUCCCCAGUACCUCCA
rnacentral:tRNA from 1 species